GACACCCAAUUGGUCAACUACAAACAAGAGUCAUAUUAGGAUGCUAUUGAUGGUUAAACCUAAUGAUACUUGGUCUGACCAAGGUGGGAGCUGGCAGGUUGUCCGAUAGCUAGGGAUCAGGACCCUCUUCACAAAAGUCCACCAAAGCUAUUGUAAGGUCUUUUUCUAAGAUCUAAAAAGAUCCUAAGAGAAAGAAACAAUCUAGAAAGAGAAAAAAAUUCUAAAAGAAAGAGAAACAAUCUAGAAAGAGAAAGUUAUAGAGAGAGAAACUUAUAGAGGUAGA
rnacentral:lncRNA from 1 species